UACGUAGGGGGCAAGCGUUGUCCGGAAUCAUUGGGCGUAAAGAGCGUGUAGGCGGUCCGUUAAGUCGGCUGUGAAAGUCCAAGGCUCAACCUUGGGAUGCCGGUCGAUACUGCCGGACUAGAGUUCGGAAGAGGCGAGUGGAAUUCCCGGUGUAGCGGUGAAAUGCGCAGAUAUCGGGAGGAACACCUAUAGCGAAGGCAGCUCGCUGGGACGUUACUGACGCUGAGACGCGAAAGCGUGGGGAGCAAACAGG
rnacentral:rRNA from 1 species